GGCCAUGCCCUUUACUGGGUGUGGUCGGGAACCAUGACUUUUACUGUGAAAAAAUUAGAGUGUUCAAAGCAGGCUUACGCCCGAAUACAUUAGCAUGGAAUAAUAAAAUAGGACGUGCGGUCCUAUUUUGUUGGUUUCUAGGAUCGCCGUAAUGAUUAAUAGGGAUAGUUGGGGGCAUUCGUAUUCAAUUGUCAGAGGUGAAAUUCUUGGAUUUAUUGAAGACGAACUACUGCGAAAGCAUUUGCCAAGGAUGUUUUCAUUGAUCAAGAACGAAGGUUAGGGGAUCGAAAACGAUCAGAUACCGUUGUAGUCUUAACAGUAAACGAUGCCGACUAGGGAUCGGAUGAGGCUUUUAAUGACUCAUUCGGCACCUGAAGAGAAAUCUUUAAGUCAGGUUCGGGGGGGAGUAUGGUCGCAAGGCUGAAACUUAAAGGAAUUGACGGAAGGGCACCACCAGGUGUGGAGCCUGCGGCUUAAUUUGACUCAACACGGGGAAACUCACCAGGUCCAGACACGACAAGGAUUGACAGAUUGAUAGCUCUUUCUUGAUUUCGUGGUUGGUGGUGCAUGGCCGUUCUUAGUUGGUGGAGUGAUUUGUCUGGUUAAUUCCGAUAACGAACGAGACCUUAACCUGCUAAAUAGCCCGGCCGACUUUGGUUGGUCGCUGGCUUCUUAGGGGGACUAUCGACGUCUAGUCGAUGGAAGUUUGAGGCAAUAACAGGUCUGUGAUGCCCUUAGAUGUUCUGGGCCGCACGCGCGCUACACUGACCGAACCAGCGAGUUUUUUUCCUUGGCCGGAAGGCCUGGGUAAUCUUGUGAAAUUCGGUCGUGAUGGGGAUAGAGCAUUGCAAUUAUUGCUCUUCAACGAGGAAUACCUAGUAAGCGUGAGUCAUCAGCUCGCGUUGAAUUCGUCCCUGCCCUUUGUACACACCGCCCGUCGCUAUUACCGAUUGAAUG
rnacentral:rRNA from 1 species